UUUUCAUUUCUUCACUCUAAAAAAAUUAAUUCUUCUACUCCCAAUCCAAAAAAAGAAGAAAUGUGUAGUACUGUAUUAAUGGCCAUUUCACAUAGUUUUUUGAAGAAGACGAUUUCAUGUUAUCACUCAACUUGUUCAACUCCAUUAAUGGCUAAAACUGUAAGAAUAAACGGCCCAAAUCUUAUGAGAAGUUGCAACAAAUCUGACCUAUCUGUUUUAGAACCUAUAGAGAUACCACCAGAAAAGCCUGCUAAGGAACCACCAUUAUCACCUCCAAGCCCAGGCCCACCCAAUAAUGAUCCAGUGGGCCCAGACAUACCUGGCCCACCACCUGAGAUUGUUCCACCCGGUGGUCCGGAUGUUGUACCUCCGAUGGGACCGGAGAUUGUUCCGCCUGGUUGGCCGGAUGUUACACCUCCAACACCACCGGAGAUUGUCCCGCCCACCGGGCCAGAUGUUGUGCCCCCAAGGGAGCCUGAACCUGAACCGUGGCAGGUUCCACAGCCUGAUGUCCCAUCACCCAUCAUCUACUGAUGAUUUCAGUGUCGGAGCUAGAAUUUUGAAUGAAGAUGUUUUUAUGUUUUUUUCAAACAAUUUAAGCUUUUAAUUAUCUUUUUUUGAAAGAAUAAAAUGCUGAUGUUAUAAAUCUACUCUUAAUUUACUAAUUUCUUCUAAUAUUAUAUUAUAUACAACAUAUUGGAAUAUAAAAUGUAUCAAUCAAAUUAUUUUGAAUUAGUACAGGUGUCAGAGUGCAUGGCAUCCACGUGUCUCAUGAAUACCACGUAUCAAAUACAAAGGUGUCUCAUGAAUAACACGUAUCACUUGAACUAUCCUAUACAUUUACAAAAAAAAUUUGUGCUAAAACCAAACAAAUGAUAUCUUAAUAUUCCUGUUCUACCAAAUAGAUAUAUACCAAAAUAAUAAUUUAAAUAAAAAAAUGUUAAGAAUUUUUUCAGCGAAAUAUUAUACAAGAUCUUCAAUAUUUGUUGUUCAAAAGUUAACUAUAUCAGUUGGACUUACUAGAAAAAUGAGCAAGGAAAAUCUUCCAUCUGAUUUUCCUACCACAACACCACCAAAUACUAGCAGACCCACCGAUGCACCGCCGGCGGUGGAGGAUUCACCGUUCGUGCCAGAUUUCGAUGCUAUUCCACUGAUAAGACCAGGUGAAAACCCUCCGACGCCAUCGCCAACGGCACCGCGGACCGAUAGUCCUGAAUUUUCCGAUCCACCGAACACUUCUCCUUCAGGUCAGGAAGCACCACGACCACCUAUAUCACCACCUGGACAGACGGAGGCGUUCACACCACAACAACCUCCGGACGCUGGAGAGCAAAUUAGAACAUCUAAUGUUAGAUCUGAGUAGUGAAAUAUUAAAUAGUUUUCGUUUUUUUUUAAAUAUAUAAUUAUCUGAUAUUCGAAAUUUUCUAAAUCUUAUUUAGACGUUUAUUGUCCACUAGAAAUGUACAUGAUGCCAAGGGUAUUUUUGAACAAUGUAUGCUUUUUUAUUAUAAUGCUCUUCGGGUGAACACUUUAUGCGUA